rnacentral:misc_RNA from 1 species
CCGAGUUUCAUCGACUCCCAAACCCCUGUGAACAUACCUGAACGUUGCCUCGGCGGGAGAGCCCCGGCGCCCAGCGGGCGGCCCGGAACCAGGCGCCCGCCGCAGGACCCAAACCCUUGCCUUACCGUUAGCGGCAUCUCUGAGUCUCGUGGGAAAAAUGAAUCA